CAGUAGCCACGGUAAAACGUAGGUGGCAAGUGUUGUCCGGAAUUAUUGGGCGUAAAGGGCUCGCAGGCGGUUUCUUAAGUCUGAUGUGAAAGCCCCCGGCUCAACCGGGGAGGGUCAUUGGAAACUGGGAAACUUGAGUGCAGAAGAGGAGAGUGGAAUUCCACGUGUAGCGGUGAAAUGCGUGGAGAUGUGGAGGAACACCGGUGGCGAAGGCGGCUCACUGGUCCGGAACUGACGCUGAGGCACGACAGCGUGGGGAGCAAACAGGAUUAGAUACCCCGGUAGUCCCUGUCUCUUAUAC
rnacentral:rRNA from 1 species